GAGAGGGGAGUGAAAUAGACUCUGAAACCACUUACUUACAAUUAGUCAGAGCCCGUUAAUGGGUGAUGGCGUACAUCUUGCAGUAUGGACCGGCGAGUUACUUUAGCAUGCAAGGUUAAGCAGAUAAAAGCGGAGCCGUAGAGAAAUCGAGUCUUAAUAGGGCGAUUAGUAUGCUUGAGUACACCCGAAACCAGGUGACCUAUUCAUGAGCAGACUGAAACUUAGCUAACCCUAAGUGGAGGGUCGAACCGUAGUACACUAAAACGUGCCCGGAUGACUUGUGAAUAGCGGAGAAAUUCCAAUCGAACUUGGAGAUAGCUGGUUCUCCUCGAAAUAGCUUUAGGGCUAGCGUGUAGUGUUAAAUAAUGGUGGUAAAGCACUGAAUAUGGAAUGGCCUCGCCUAGGGGUACUGACUAUAAUCAAACUCUGAAUACCGUUAUGAAUUGCUAUGCAGUCGGAACCGGGGUGCUAACGUCCCGGCUCGCGAGGGAAACAACCCAGAUCGUCAGCUAAGGUCCCAAAAUCGUGUUAAGUCAGAAAGGUUGUGAGGUUUCAUAAACAACUAGGAAGUUGGCUUAGAAGCAGCCAUCUUUUAAAGAGUGCGUAAUAGCUCACUAGUCAAGAGACCUUGCGCCGACAAUGUAACGGGAGUAAAACACGAUACCGAAGCUACGGGUACAUUUAUGUACGUUAGAGGAGCGUUCUUAGGGCAAUGAAGCUAGACUGUAAAGACUAGUGGAGCGCUAAGAAG
rnacentral:rRNA from 1 species